rnacentral:rRNA from 1 species
CCAGCUCUUCUAGCAUAUAUUAAAGUUGCUGCAGUUAAAACGCUCGUAGUUUGAAACAUUUCGGCGUGGGCGUGGGGGGAGAUUUAAUUCUCGCUCUGCGUGCAGGUCGAAUUUAAGCCUGGGGAGGACGGAUUAAGUUCCGUCUUUCCAGAUAACCUUGAACAAACAUUGACGCUCAAGAUAGGACUAAGGUCUAUUGAGAUUUCAGCAUGGGAUUAUAGAAGAUGGGAGGGGGGCAAGAGGGAUGCGUAAAAACCACCUGAAGGCCCCUUUCCAAUGGUUAAUGAGGACAAUGCGUGGAAGUUUAUAUUGGAACGUCAGAGGUGAAAUUCUUGGAUUGUUCCACGAUAAACAUCAGCGAAGGCGUUCUUCAAGUGUGUGCCUG